AUGAACGCUAGCUACAGGCUUAACACAUGCAAGUCGAGGGGCAGCAUGGUCUUAGCUUGCUAAGGCCGAUGGCGACCGGCGCACGGGUGAGUAACACGUAUCCAACCUGCCGUCUACUCUUGGACAGCCUUCUGAAAGGAAGAUUAAUACAAGAUGGCAUCAUGAGUCCGCAUGUUCACAUGAUUAAAGGUAUUCCGGUAGACGAUGGGGAUGCGUUCCAUUAGAUAGUAGGCGGGGUAACGGCCCACCUAGUCUUCGAUGGAUAGGGGUUCUGAGAGGAAGGUCCCCCACAUUGGAACUGAGACACGGUCCAAACUCCUACGGGAGGCAGCAGUGAGGAAUAUUGGUCAAUGGGCGAGAGCCUGAACCAGCCAAGUAGCGUGAAGGAUGACUGCCCUAUGGGUUGUAAACUUCUUUUAUAAAGGAAUAAAGUCGGGUAUGGAUACCCGUUUGCAUGUACUUUAUGAAUAAGGAUCGGCUAACUCCGUGCCAGCAGCCGCGGUAAUACGGAGGAUCCGAGCGUUAUCCGGAUUUAUUGGGUUUAAAGGGAGCGUAGAUGGAUGUUUAAGUCAGUUGUGAAAGUUUGCGGCUCAACCGUAAAAUUGCAGUUGAUACUGGAUAUCUUGAGUGCAGUUGAGGCAGGCGGAAUUCGUGGUGUAGCGGUGAAAUGCUUAGAUAUCACGAAGAACUCCGAUUGCGAAGGCAGCCUGCUAAGCUGCAACUGACAUUGAGGCUCGAAAGUGUGGGUAUCAAACAGGAUUAGAUACCCUGGUAGUCCACACGGUAAACGAUGAAUACUCGCUGUUUGCGAUAUACAGCAAGCGGCCAAGCGAAAGCGUUAAGUAUUCCACCUGGGGAGUACGCCGGCAACGGUGAAACUCAAAGGAAUUGACGGGGGCCCGCACAAGCGGAGGAACAUGUGGUUUAAUUCGAUGAUACGCGAGGAACCUUACCCGGGCUUAAAUUGCAGAUGAAUUACGGUGAAAGCCGUAAGCCACAAGGCAUCUGUGAAGGUGCUGCAUGGUUGUCGUCAGCUCGUGCCGUGAGGUGUCGGCUUAAGUGCCAUAACGAGCGCAACCCUUGUUGUCAGUUACUAACAGGUUCCGCUGAGGACUCUGACAAGACUGCCAUCGUAAGAUGUGAGGAAGGUGGGGAUGACGUCAAAUCAGCACGGCCCUUACGUCCGGGGCUACACACGUGUUACAAUGGGGGGUACAGAGGGCCGCUACCACGCGAGUGGAUGCCAAUCCCCAAAACCUCUCUCAGUUCGGACUGGAGUCUGCAACCCGACUCCACGAAGCUGGAUUCGCUAGUAAUCGCGCAUCAGCCACGGCGCGGUGAAUACGUUCCCGGGCCUUGUACACACCGCCCGUCAAGCCAUGGGAGCCGGGGGUACCUGAAGUGCGUAACCGCGAGGAGCGCCCUAGGGUAAAACUGGUGACUGGGGCU
rnacentral:rRNA from 1 species